GUGCUUUCUUUGGCUUUUGACUUCCAACACCUUUGGUGCAUUUAAUUUGAAUCCUACUUCCAUUAUCAUUGUUGAAAUAUGUCUCCUGAUACUGCUGUGUUUCAUGAUUCAGUGGUGCCAUUGUUCCCUUAGACUGCUCUGGGCACCUUCAAUUUUUCUAGGCGUUUCCCUGUGCAAAUGAUUACUAGUAUCCCACCAGUGACAUAUGGAAUCUUAUGCACUUUCCACUGGGUGUAGUCGCAUAUCCAGCUUCUGUGUGGCUGUGGAAUCCUUAGUACUCAGGAAGAGCUCCAAUACCUGUACUGGUUGGCUUUGAUGAUCUUAGCAACCUUUCUUUCUGUAUUUGGAAUCCUAAUUCCAGUAAUGUCCUUGAAAUGUGUCUUCUGAAUUUCACAUCUUGCCCUCUUGUCAUGAGCUGAUUCCUCCUUGCUUGCCCGAUCGGGGAUAUUUCUGAUGCUUUUCUUGUAAGUGGAUCAUCACAACCAAAUAGUGUGGUUUGACAUACUGAGAUCCUGACGGCGAGUGAUGAAGAGAAUAGUUUUCUCAAACGUCAGCACCGAGGGAGUCCUUGGAGGGCUUCUUGAAGAACUGCACUGCCUCCACUCUUCUUUCCAAGCCUCACCGAAUGGGGAAUGCAGAAGAGUGUGACCCUCUAGCAAGAAAAAGGAACCAAGGCUC